AUAAUGAUACUUCCGUCCAGCCACAGCCCUAUAGGAAUAUAGGAUCACGCAAUGGGGGCGGCCACAGGAGAACCCUGCGGGGGUUUAGAUACCCAUGA
rnacentral:ncRNA from 1 species